GUACUGUGCAAACGUUAUUCGGAAUCACUGGGCUUAAAGGGUGCGUAGGCGGUCGAUUAAGUAGGGGUGUGAAAUGCCUCGGGCUCAACCGAGGCACUGCGCUCUAAACUGGUCGGCUUGAGUGAGAUAGGGGUGUGUGGAACUUCCAGUGGAGCGGUGAAAUGUGUUGAUAUUGGAAGGAACGCCGGUGGCGAAAGCGACACACUGGGUCUCAACUGACGCUGAGGCACGAAAGCCAGGGUAGCGAACGGGAUUAGAUACCCCGGUAGUCCUGGCCGUAAACGAUGAGCACUAGUUGGGAGGGGCUUAACGCCCAUUCGAACGCAGCGAAAGCAUUAAGUGCUCCGCCUGGGGAGUAUGGUCGCAAGGCUG
rnacentral:rRNA from 1 species